rfam:Lichtheimia corymbifera JMRC:FST:9682, FST 9682, WGS project CBTN01000000 data, contig: SCAF00030
GCCACUUUAACUCAGUGGUAGAGUGUUGCUCUCGUAAAGCAAAAGUCGUGUGUUCGAUCCGCACAAGUGGCA